rnacentral:tRNA from 1 species
GAGGUUGUGGCUCAGUGGUAGAAUGCUCGCCUAGCACACGUGAGGCCUUGAGAUCAAUCCUCAGCACCACA